CGACAAGCUGACCAAUAGAAUAUGUAAACCUUUCUCCUCUGGGGAUAGUAGAUUAACAGGCUGGUGAUGUUGCUGUUGGUUACUGGUCUUGUUGUCUGAGGAAAAGUAAAUGUGGACAGUUAUUCUAACAUCUUCAAAGUGCACAUCUGAAUUCAGUAAGAAGGACUGCAUAUCGUUGCAUCCUCGACUUGCAUGUUCCGUUAAUAUGAACUACUAUAAUCUAAAUGUGAUUUCUGCCAUUCUGAGCACCGUUGGUGGACGCCCUAAUCAGGUUAUGCACCUCAUGCAUAUGGGUCAGAUGUCUCAAAUGUCCAGGAAAUUCAAAUGUUUUCUGUCAAAUGUCCGACCACAUUGACCUAACAUAAACCCUGGUGUGUGUGUAUAAAUGUAUGUGGUUGUGUCUGUGCGUGCGUGCGUGCGGUGAGUAAUGAGAUUAGUGUGGGACGGCCUGGACCUGGGGAUCGAUCCCCAAGACAACCCCAGACCACAGGAUAAGUGGACCAUCUGGCCUCUCUCACUUUAUCUCUCUCCUUCCCUCUCUCCAUUUAUCUCUCUUUGUACUAUCUCUGUCUCUCUACAGAAGAUGAUUUGCAGUCUGACAGUUGCGGCCUUCUUUGACAGUGUAGCGUAUGUCAUCGGUGAUACCCAUCCAGAGGGGAGUCUGUGUAACUUCCAGGCCUGGUGGCUCACUUAUUUUGACUGGAGUGCCUUGGCCUGGGUGUCCUGAAUUAUUCUGAACC
ensembl:lncRNA